ACAUGCCUACAACAUAGCAUUAAUGCACCCGUUCCCAUUAGAACUCUACAGUUAAGUGUGCUUGGGCUAAAGUAGUACUGGGAUGGGUGACCGCUCGGGAAGUCCUAGUGUUUUACAUGCC
rfam:Picea glauca, whole genome shotgun sequence.